rnacentral:pre_miRNA from 1 species
AGUGGGACAGCUGGGUCAAAUGGUGGUUCCAGUCGAAGUUUUUCAAGGAAUCUCCAUACUGCUUUCCAGAUUGGUUGCACCAAUUUGCAGUCCCACCAGCAAU